CGCAGUUAGUGAGAGUUCAGCAGCUGCGGGGAACUGCGCGUCCAGGGGAAGGGUGCCCGGAGCGGAGGACGCGCUGCGCCCGACGGCGGCCCCCAGCGCCUGGCAGCCACGCUGCGCCCCACGCCUCAAGUGACCGGUAUUUUGGCAGCACAAUCUCGCAGAAAAAUCAUACAGACCUCCGAGGAAAAGAGCUAAGGGCAACAAGCACUUCACAGGAGAAGCUUCCAUAUAACAUGCCUAUCAAAUAAAGCUGUAUCAAAAUAUUA